CUUGGUGCUAGGGGAACCUGGUGAGUAGGAAAGAGACCAAGUUACUGGUCCCAACGGCGUGCUGAGAGGCACAUGUCCAUAAAACCCACUGUUGGUGAUCAGACCCCGUGGAACCGACAGGUGCCCGGUAGCAGACGCAGGACCUCCGUGCAGGCAAUCAGGACCUCUCACUGGCUUAACCCGGAAGUGAAAGACCUACGGCAAUGCUGGAACUCCAUUGCAGGUAAGAGGAGGAGGUCUGGGUUUAAAAAGGCCGGACAACUCCUCCCACAACUACAGGCUGACACCAAUAUAUAUAUCUGGGACAGAGGAGAAGCAGGGAGAGUCUGGGGCAGAGGUAGAGCAGAGAAACCCAUAUAAGUUUAAAAUAACAGCAACUAUAUUGAUUACAAACAUUUCGCUAAUAAAAGGGGUACAAUUUAUGGAAAUGGGCUGUCAAAGGGUACUCAAGUUAAAAAAGGUUGUGAACCACUGACCUAGAUGAUUGACAUAAUGGACAGCGGAAACAUUGUCCAUCCUGAGAAUCAAAGAACAGUUGUAAGCUUCAUUGGCGAAACUGCUAAUCACAAAUGUGCCUGCCAUCAGUACGAGGUAAUUGAUGUGCAUCGAUCGUUCCGACUGUGUCCAGAGACUGCCCAUGGAGAGGUAGGAGCAAGUAGCUCCCCAACCUAGGAGGCUGGCAUCCGACUCCAGAAUAAAAGUGGUUUGGCAUCCGAAUAUGGCUUUCCAAUUCCAAGCCGCAAUGUUCUGGAGCCACCAUUCUAACUCCAGAUGAACUUCGUUGGUAAGAAUAAUUGAUCUGUGUGGCAAACCUAGCCACUUAAGUCUGUAUUCCUGUGAUAUUGUUGCCCUAAAGACUGUCUAAAUCUGUCAUUAUUCUAGAUUCUGUUUUGUAUGCAAUAGAGAGCAUUUGUAUGCUAGCGGCAUGAAAGACGCAAGCAUUCAUAUGGUAGUUUCACGAACAGUGAAUUUCAACACUGUUCAUGAAAUGAAUAAACUACCGAAUGGGAGACCACACAAGGGAAGUCGUGUGUCUCCCAUUAACAGUUGCAACUAUGUAUCUACCGUCAAUUAAUGCAUUGUGCGGGUGGCCGCCGUUUGGAUGUCAAACAUGUGGCGGCUGCCAUCUUUGUUCACGGAAAGCCCAGCGGUGUUUGGUCGUUGAGUGCCUGGAACUAAAAUCGGCUACUUGACUUCACGAACACCGCUGGACUUCCAGACCGUUCGGACAAAUUAUUAUUUUGGUAAAUUAACGUACAUAGUCCAUUGUCAUAUUGCAAUACAUGUUCGUGUAAAACUCUCAUUCGAAUGGCUUUGCUUUUCUAGUGCAGGGAUCUGAGCGGUAUUUCACCAGAUGGUGCGCUCAGAUCCCAGCUAUUUAAUGAGAGGUCAUUUGGCUAAUUCAACCUAUUAUUACAGUAUACCAGUUAUGGAAUUUAAUGUGAAAUUGUAUGUUUUGCUGUACGGAGAGAUAAUGUGAUUAACAGUACAUUCUUGCACAAUUAUCUCUCCAGUACAGCAGGGCAUGAUGGGAAAUAGUCUUGCAGGCUAAGGUCCCCACACAGUCCCUUGCAGUAAAACCCCUGCAAUGUCAUUCAGGAAACCCCUUGCAUGGGGACUUGCAUAAAUACUGUGACCGUGGAAUAAAAGCUCAGUUGACUCCCAAACUACGUGUCGUCUAGUUCUUGGGAAAGAGGGAUUACUACUACGCUACUUGUGAUUUAUAUGCUGAUUCCUGACUACCAGCGGAGAUACCGUGGAUUAAUCUACUACUCCGCUACAAUCUGGAUCUGUGAAUAUAAUACGUCUUGAGAUGUUGCAACGCCCUGUAGUGUAGAGGGCCUGGGAAAAUUGCCUGAAUGAAGGCUCAAAAAAAGAAAGAAAAUAUUCCAGAGAGAAUAUCUCUUCAAUAAUUGGUAGGAAGUCCCUCUAU